rnacentral:rRNA from 1 species
UUGAACGCUGGCGGCAUGCCUUACACAUGCAAGUCGAACGGCAGCACGGGGGCAACCCUGGUGGCGAGUGGCGAACGGGUGAGUAAUACAUCGGAACGUGCCCUGAAGUGGGGGAUAACGUAGCGAAAGUUACGCUAAUACCGCAUAUUCUGUGAGCAGGAAAGCGGGGGAUCGCAAGACCUCGCGCGAUAGGAGCGGCCGAUAUCGGAUUAGCUUGUUGGUGAGGUAAAGGCUCACCAAGGCGACGAUCCGUAGCUGGUCUGAGAGGACGACCAGCCACACUGGAACUGAGACACGGUCCAGACUCCUACGGGAGGCAGCAGUGGGGAAUUUUGGACAAUGGGGGCAACCCUGAUCCAGCCAUUCCGCGUGAGUGAAGAAGGCCUUCGGGUUGUAAAGCUCUUUCAGCAGGAACGAAACGGUGGCUACUAAUACUAGCUACUAAUGACGGUACCUGAAGAAGAAGCACCGGCUAACUACGU